AACGAACGCUGGCGGCAGGCUUAACACAUGCAAGUCGAACGCUCGUGGCAACACGGGAGUGGCAGACGGGUGAGUAACGCGUGGGAACCUACCCUUUUCUACGGAAUAACUGAGGGAAACUUCAGCUAAUACCGUAUACGCCCUACGGGGGAAAGAUUUAUCGGAGAAGGAUGGGCCCGCGUCUGAUUAGCUAGUUGGUGAGGUAACGGCUCACCAAGGCGACGAUCAGUAGCUGGUCUGAGAGGAUGAUCAGCCACAUUGGGACUGAGACACGGCCCAAACUCCUACGGGAGGCAGCAGUGGGGAAUAUUGGACAAUGGGGGCAACCCUGAUCCAGCCAUGCCGCGUGAGUGAUGAAGGCCUUAGGGUUGUAAAGCUCUUUCGUCAGGGAAGAUAAUGACGGUACCUGAAGAAGAAGCCCCGGCUAACUUCGUG
rnacentral:rRNA from 1 species